rnacentral:rRNA from 1 species
AUUGAACGCUGGCGGCAUGCCUUACACAUGCAAGUCGAACGGCAGCACGGGUGCUUGCCCCUGGUGGCGAGUGGCGAACGGGUGAGUAAUACAUCGGAACAUGUCCUGUAGUGGGGGAUAGCCCGGCGAAAGCCGGAUUAAUACCGCAUACGAUCUACGGAUGAAAGCGGGGGACCUUCGGGCCUCGCGCUAUAGGGUUGGCCGAUGGCUGAUUAGCUAGUUGGUGGGGUAAAGGCCUACCAAGGCGACGAUCAGUAGCUGGUCUGAGAGGACGACCAGCCACACUGGGACUGAGACACGGCCCAGACUCCUACGGGAGGCAGCAGUGGGGAAUUUGGGACAAUGGGCGAAAGCCUGAUCCAGCAAUGCCGCGUGUGUGAAGAAGGCCUUCGGGUUGUAAAGCACUUUUGUCCGGAAAGAAAUCCUUGGCCCUAAUACGGUCGGGGGAUGACGGUACCGGAAGAAUAAACACCGGCUAACUACGU